AUGCCGUGGCAGAGCGCGCUGCCGGCGCACGCGAGCUGCGCCCGGUGGCCAGCGGUGGCGUUCAUCAUGGUUGUGGCGGCGAGGUGCUGCGUGCAAUCGGAGAGAGCGACGCCGGCGACUCCUUUAAUAAGCUCGUCGUCUUCCCUGUUUUGGUGGGGGGCCGGCUGCUUGUCUCCUUCCUCUGUUGCCGCCAUGGAGACGGAUGGAGCGAGGAUGAGAAGCAGCGAACUGGACCCCGCGGAUUGGGUAAGAGGUCAUUCUCAAUGGCUAAUGUAUCAGGGCUUCGGCGCCAGCAUCAACGGUCGGCUGCCAGCCCUUGUCUCGCCAUUGACCUUGCUGGCUGAAGGGUGGCCAUCUAUAUUCCUCCCGGCCUGGAGCCUUGAAGGGAGGCAGUUCAUCUCUGGUUUGGAGUCCCCAGCUUCUUCUGAUGGUAGCGGAUGGAGCGGCUAUGGAGAUCCCGGCGCACCAAGUGGUAGCGUCCCCGGCGGCGACGGGAUUGGUUCUGUUCCAGAGUUGAUUAGGACCCGAUUGCGUUUCUUAUUUCCUGUUUGGGAUCCUCCAUGCAAAAACCAGGGACCUAGUUGUAGUUUCCGUUUAUGUUUGGAUCCUGUUGUAAUCUGCUUUGUACGAUCACCAUUUAAGAAUUAA
rnacentral:rRNA from 1 species